rnacentral:rRNA from 1 species
UUCGGGGAACGAUAACGGCGUCGAGCGGCGGACGGGUGAGUAAUGCCUAGGAAAUUGCCCUGAUGUGGGGGAUAACCAUUGGAAACGAUGGCUAAUACCGCAUGAUGCCUACGGGCCAAAGAGGGGGACCUUCGGGCCUCUCGCGUCAGGAUAUGCCUAGGUGGGAUUAGCUAGUUGGUGAGGUAAGGGCUCACCAAGGCGACGAUCCCUAGCUGGUCUGAGAGGAUGAUCAGCCACACUGGAACUGAGACACGGUCCAGACUCCUACGGGAGGCAGCAGUGGGGAAUAUUGCACAAUGGGCGCAAGCCUGAUGCAGCCAUGCCGCGUGUGUGAAGAAGGCCUUCGGGUUGUAAAGCACUUUCAGUCGUGAGGAAGGUAGUGUAGUUAAUAGCUGCAUUAUUUGACGUUAGCGACAGAAGAAGCACCGGCUAACUCCGUGCCAGCAGCCGCGGUAAUACGGAGGGUGCGAGCGUUAAUCGGAAUUACUGGGCGUAAAGCGCAUGCAGGUGGUUUGUUAAGUCAGAUGUGAAAGCCCGGGGCUCAACCUCGGAAUAGCAUUUGAAACUGGCAGACUAGAGUACUGUAGAGGGGGGUAGAAUUUCAGGUGUAGCGGUGAAAUGCGUAGAGAUCUGAAGGAAUACCGGUGGCGAAGGCGGCCCCCUGGACAGAUACUGACACUCAGAUGCGAAAGCGUGGGGAGCAAACAGGAUUAGAUACCCUGGUAGUCCACGCCGUAAACGAUGUCUACUUGGAGGUUGUGGCCUUGAGCCGUGGCUUUCGGAGCUAACGCGUUAAGUAGACCGCCUGGGGAGUACGGUCGCAAGAUUAAAACUCAAAUGAAUUGACGGGGGCCCGCACAAGCGGUGGAGCAUGUGGUUUAAUUCGAUGCAACGCGAAGAACCUUACCUACUCUUGACAUCCAGAGAACUUUCCAGAGAUGGAUUGGUGCCUUCGGGAACUCUGAGACAGGUGCUGCAUGGCUGUCGUCAGCUCGUGUUGUGAAAUGUUGGGUUAAGUCCCGCAACGAGCGCAACCCUUAUCCUUGUUUGCCAGCGAGUAAUGUCGGGAACUCCAGGGAGACUGCCGGUGAUAAACCGGAGGAAGGUGGGGACGACGUCAAGUCAUCAUGGCCCUUACGAGUAGGGCUACACACGUGCUACAAUGGCGCAUACAGAGGGCGGCCAACUUGCGAAAGUGAGCGAAUCCCAAAAAGUGCGUCGUAGUCCGGAUUGGAGUCUGCAACUCGACUCCAUGAAGUCGGAAUCGCUAGUAAUCGUGGAUCAGAAUGCCACGGUGAAUACGUUCCCGGGCCUUGUACACACCGCCCGUCACACCAUGGGAGUGGGCUGCAAAAGAAGUAGGUAGUUUAACCUUCGGGGGGACGCUUACCACUUUGUGGUUCAUGACUGGG